rnacentral:rRNA from 1 species
UACGAAGGGUGCAAACGUUGCUCGGAAUUAUUGGGCGUAAAGCGCACGUAGGCGGCUUGGCAAGUCGGAUGUGAAACCUCCAGGCUCAACCUGGAGACGCCACUCGAUACUGCCAUGGCUAGAGUCCGGUAGGGGACCACGGAAUUCCUGGUGUAGCGGUGAAAUGCGCAGAUAUCAGGAGGAACACCGGUGGCGAAGGCGGUGGUCUGGGCCGGCACUGACGCUGAGGAGCGAAAGCGUGGGUAGCAAACAGG